rnacentral:rRNA from 1 species
UACGUAGGGUGCAAGCGUUAAUCGGAAUUACUGGGCGUAAAGCGUGCGCAGGCGGUUUUGUAAGCCAGAUGUGAAAUCCCCGGGCUUAACCCGGGAAUGGCAUUUGGGACUGCAAGGCUUGAGUGCGGCAGAGGAGACUGGAAUUCCUGGUGUAGCAGUGAAAUGCGUAGAUAUCAGGAGGAACACCGAUGGCGAAGGCAGGUCUCUGGGCUGACACUGACGCUCAUGCACGAAAGCGUGGGGAGCAAACAGG